UAUGCAUUCCUACCCCAUGGGGAACGUUACUUCACCAUGGGGCUGGCUGCUAUAUGCUGGGCAAUCAGGAACUGCAGAAAUCGUGCUACUUUUGAGCAUAAGAAACUGUCAUCUCCUUUUGAGAUUGUCUUCACAACUUGUGUGCAUCUGAACUAUUGGGCAGGACUCUUGAAGGGCGCGGAACGGGAGGAGCUGGAGCAUGGUGCGCUGAUGUUGAAGAAUACCGCUAAGAGGAUGAUGAGUCUAUGCGCCACAGCGCACACUGAGAGUGCCUAA
rnacentral:rRNA from 1 species